CAUAUCGUGGUUUUUGCUGGACGGAGCGUCAUAACUCAAAAACAAAAAAUCUACAAAAAAAAACAGUUCUGAGUUUUUUAGUCAGGUACUUCGCUUUGAAUAAAAAUAAAUUACAACUAAAAAUAAUAAAUAGGUUACUAUCAAGCCUUAAUUUGAUUCUAUACUUUGGUCUAUUAAAUCCGCUAAGCAAAGCAGAAAAGAGCAAAGCUAUUUAUAUAAUAAUUAUUAAUAUUAUAUAAUAAUUAUUAAUUUUUAAUAAUUUAUCUCAAAGCUUAUCCCUUAAGAUAUUCAGAUUCAUAAAUUUUUUAAUUAAAUAAAAAUAAAUAAAAAAAUUUUUAAAUUAAAUUUAUUUCUAAAAAAACUAGAUACUUUUUCUUAUAAGGCAUAAAUGCGAGAUAUAGAUAUGACUUUUUUACACUACUCAAAAAUGAAACUAUCUUUAUGAUUCACUCAAAAAACCUUCUUGGACUAUGACGUUGCUCCAGCAAGCGAACGACAUGUUACAGCAAGAGGAAAAAUGUUUAUGUGCUCACUACUACAUAAAUAUAUGUAUGUACAUACAUAUGUACGCAUAUGUAUAUUAUUAAAAAGAAAAGUGGAAGAUAUAUAUAUAUAUUGUACAAACAUAGUAUAUGAAUUUAAGUUUUACAUUUAAUAAUUUUUCCUUGAUUAAUUUAUGCAUAAAUGUAAUAUUAAUUGGAGAUUAAAAAAUAACUACUUGAAAAUUACAUAGGAAUGAAUUCAAAAAUAAGGUCUGUUCCAACAAUUCUGU